rnacentral:rRNA from 1 species
GACGAACGCUGGCGGCGUGCUUAACACAUGCAAGUCGAACGGAAAGGCCCCUUUGGGGGUACUCGAGUGGCGAACGGGAGGGUAACACGUGAGUAACCUGCCCUGGACUUCGGGAUAACUUCAGGAAACUGGGGCUAAUACCGGAUAGGAAUCCUUGCUGCAUGGUGGGGGUUGGAAAGCUUCGGCGGUUUUGGAUGGACUCGCGGCUUAUCAGCUUGUUGGUGGGGUAGUGGCUUACCAAGGCUUUGACGGGUAGCCGGCCUGAGAGGGCGACCGGCCACAGUGGGACUGAGAUACGGCCCAGACUCCUACGGGAGGCAGCAGUGGGGAAUAUUGCACAAAGGGCGGGAGCCUGAUGCAGCAACGCCGCGGGCGGGAUGGCGGCCUUCGGGUUGUAAACCGCUUUCAGCAGGGGCGGAGCUUGUGGUGACGGUACCUGCAGAAGAAGCACCGGCUAACUACGUG